rnacentral:misc_RNA from 1 species
GAUGAAGAACGCAGUGAAAUGCGAUAAGUAAUGUGAAUUGCAGAAUUCAGUGAAUCAUCGAAUCUUUGAACGCACAUUGCGCCCGCCAGUAUUCUGGCGGGCAUGCCUGUCCGAGCGUCAUUUCAACCCUCGAACCCCUCCGGGGGGUCGGCGUUGGGGAUCGGCCCUUUACCGGCCGGCCCCGAAAUACAGUGGCGGUCUCGCCGCAGCCUCUCCUGCGCAGUAGUUUGCACACUCGCACCGGGAGCGCGGCGCAGUCCAAUGCCGUAAAACACCCAACUUUCUGAAAUGUUGACCUCGGAUCAGGUAGGAAUACCCGCUGAACUUAAGCAUAUCAAUAAGCGGAGGA